rnacentral:tRNA from 1 species
GGAGAGGUGUCCGAGUGGUCGAAGGUGCUUGACUCGAAAUCAAGUGCAGUUAAUAGCUGCCGUGGGUUCGAAUCCCACCCUCUCUGCCA